UACGGAGGGAGCUAGCGUUAUUCGGAAUUACUGGGCGUAAAGCGCACGUAGGCGGCUUUGUAAGUAAGAGGUGAAAGCCCAGAGCUCAACUCUGGAAUUGCCUUUUAGACUGCAUCGCUUGAAUCAUGGAGAGGUCAGUGGAAUUCCGAGUGUAGAGGUGAAAUUCGUAGAUAUUCGGAAGAACACCAGUGGCGAAGGCGGCUCUCUGGAACGCAACUGACGCUGAGACGCGAAAGCGUGGGGAGCAAACAGG
rnacentral:rRNA from 1 species